rnacentral:rRNA from 1 species
AAUAGAAAGUAAUUAAGGGCGUAUGGCGGAUGCCUAGGCUCACGGAGGCGAUGAAGGACGUGAUAAGCUGCGAUAAGCCUCGGGUAGAUGCAAAUAAUCUUUGAUCCGAGGAUUUCCGAAUGGGAGAACCUGACUGUCUGAAUGAUAGUCACCCAUAUAUUUUUUAUGGGAGCAAACGCAGGGAACUGAAACAUCUUAGUACCUGUAGGAAAAGAAAAUAAUUUAAUGAUUCCCCUAGUAGUGGCGAGCGAACGGGGAAAAGCCCAAACCUAUGACGUAGUAAUGCGUGAUAGGGGUAGUAGGGUCACGAUAUCGUACUUUGAAAGUGAGGAGAAUGUUCUGGAAAGUUCAAUAAUAUAAGGUGAUAAUCCUGUAUCCGAAGCUUGAUGAGGCGUAGUGAAUCCCUGAGUAGUGCGGAGCACGAGUAAUUCUGCAUGAAUCUGCCGGGACCAUCCGGUAAGGCUAAAUACUCCCGUGAGACCGAUAGUGAACGAGUACUGUGAAGGAAA